rnacentral:tRNA from 1 species
GCGCCCGUAGCUCAGCGGAUUAGAGCAUCUGGCUUCGGACCAGAGGGCCGCAGGUUCGAAUCCUGCCGGGCGCG